GAACAAGAAAAACCUAAGAAAGUCAGGCCGCGUGAGGCGUGAGAGCCGAGGAAGGACCGUUAGAUCAGCUGUAAAGUGAUAUUUUAUAGAACCCAAAAAAUAUCAGUUAAGGACAACGACCUAUGAGAUUGAGUAAAAGCAAGAGAGCAAUCGAACAGCCAUCAUUUAUCAGGGGGCAAGAAGAACAAGGAAGGACGAUACUCGGAAGUAAGAGAUUUUUAAAACUGCAGCAAGCAGAAAUAAUCUGAAAAGAACAGCCAACAGAUUGGAACCGGAAUAACAGAGGGGAAAGCUAAAACCAAACACCACCAAAUAAAACCAACUACUACUAAUUUAACAAAAGCAAAAACGAAUAAUCAUAUGCAAGGAGGAUAGCAGACAAAACAAAUACAACUAACCAAAUACGAUAUAUGUAUCUGUAUAUUUGAGAACGAAAGCUAAGUUCCAGCAACAACAACCAAGCAGCGCAAAUUUAGUAAAAACGUAUAAAAAUUAUAAUAAAUAAUAUAAUAAUUGCUAUCUUUUUGCAUUUUUGCAAUUUUAUA